rnacentral:tRNA from 1 species
UUGAUUGAAACCAAAGUAGAGGUGUAUCACUGUUAAUGAUAAAAUUGAAGAUUCCUUCCAAUCAAG